UGGGGAAUAUUGGACAGUGGGCGAAAGCCUGAUCCAGCCAUGCCGCGUGUGUGAAGAAGGUCUUCGGAUUGUAAAGCACUUUAAGUUGGGAGGAAGGGCAGUAAAUUAAUACUUUGCUGUUUUGACGUUACCGACAGAAUAAGCACCGGCUAACUCUGUGCCAGCAGCCGCGGUAAUACAGAGGGUGCAAGCGUUAAUCGGAAUUACUGGGCGUAAAGCGCGCGUAGGUGGUUCGUUAAGUUGGAUGUGAAAUCCCCGGGCUCAACCUGGGAACUGCAUUCAAAACUGACGAGCUAGAGUAUGGUAGAGGGUGGUGGAAUUUCCUGUGUAGCGGUGAAAUGCGUAGAUAUAGGAAGGAACACCAGUGGCGAAGGCGACCACCUGGACUGAUACUGACACUGAGGUGCGAAAGCGUGGGGAGCAAACAGGAUUAGAUACCCUGUAGUCCCUGAGCGGGCUGGCAAGGCGCAU
rnacentral:rRNA from 1 species